GCCCGCGAAUUCGGACAGAGCCUGAGACGGAGCGGGAUGGAGCCCGCGCUGGGCGCUGCAGCGGCUCCAGGCGCAGCCCAGACCAGGGCAACAACAUGGACUUAACCAGCCACUGACUGAGUCUGGAGACCCUGCUAUCAAGAAGGAGGUUCCCUCAGGGGCAGCUGUGGCUGCCCACGCUUCCCAGUAGCCCCUCUGAUCCCGAGCCCGUGGAGAAGCGU
rnacentral:lncRNA from 1 species